rnacentral:rRNA from 1 species
AGGAUGAACGCUGGCGGCGUGCCUAACACAUGCAAGUCGAACGUCCUGUCUCGCAAGAGGCAGGGAGUGGCGGACGGGUGAGUACCACGUGGGUCAUCUACCGUGAGGUGAGGAAUACCGGCGAGAAAUCGCCGACAAGACCGCAUAGGCUCGAUGCAAGUCGAGCAAAGCUCUUUCGAGAGAGGGAGCGCCACACGAGGAGCCUGCGCCCGAUUAGCUAGCUGGUGGAGUAACGGUUCACCAGGGCGACGAUCGGUAGCUGGUCUGAGAGGACGAUCAGCCACACUGGGAUUGAGAACGGCCCAGACUCCUACGGGGGGCAGCAGUGAGGAAUUUUCGUCAAUGGGGGCAACCCUGAACGAGCAACGCCGCGUGCAGGAGAAGGUUUCGGAUCGUAAACUGCUUUUCUCGGGAAGAGAACGGACGGUACCCGAGGAAUCAGCCCCGGCUAACUACGUGACAGCAGCCGC